rnacentral:rRNA from 1 species
GACGAACGCUGGCGGCGGGCUUAACACAUGCAAGUCGAACGGAAAGGCCCUGCGUUUGUGCUGUUCUCGAUUGCCAAACGGGUGAGUAACACGUGAGUAACCGGCCCUUGACUUUCGUAUAACUUCAGGAAACGGGGGCUAAGACCGUAUAGGAUCUGCUGCUGCAUGGUGGGGAUUGGAAAUUUUCGGCGGUUGGGGAUGGACUCGCGGCUUAUCAGCUUGUUGGUUGGGUAGGGGCUUACCAAGCCUUUGACGGGUAGCCGGCAUGAGAGGGUGACCGGCCACAUGGGGACUGAGAGAGGCACCAGAGUGCUACAGGAGGCAGCAGUGGCAAAUAUUGCCCAGUGAGAGGAAGCGUGUUGCGGCAACGCCGCGUGCGGGAUGACGGCCUUCGGGUUGUGAACAGCUUUCGCCUGUGACGCAGCGUGAGUGACGGUAAUGGGUAAAGAAGCACCGGCUAACUAUGUG